AGAGUUUGAUCCUGGCUCAGGACGAACGCUGGCGGCGUGCUUAACACAUGCAAGUCGAACGAUGACACCGCUUGCGGUGGGAUGAGUGGCGAACGGGUGAGUAACACGUGGGUGACCUGCCCCGCACUUCGGGAUAACUCUGGGAAACUGGAGCUAAUACCGGAUAUGACCUCGUCCGUAGGUGGACGAGGUGGAAAGUUCUUCGGUGUGGGAUGGACUCGCGGCCUAUCAGCUUGUUGGUGGGGUAAUGGCCUACCAAGGCGUCGACGGGUAGCCGGCCUGAGAGGGUGAUCGGCCACACUGGGACUGAGACACGGCCCAGACUCCUACGGGAGGCAGCAGUGGGGAAUAUUGCACAAUGGGCGCAAGCCUGAUGCAGCGACGCCGCGUGUGGGAUGAAGGCCUUCGGGUUGUAAACCACUUUCGGUACCGACGAAGCUUAUGUGACGGUAGGUGCAGAAGAAG
rnacentral:rRNA from 1 species